rnacentral:misc_RNA from 1 species
UUGAAUUUUAAUGAAGAGUUUGGUUGUAGCCGGCCCAUUCAUUUGGGCAUGUGCACACCUUCCUCUUUCAUCCCACACACACCUGUGAACCUGUGAGACAGAGAUGGGGAAUUUACUUGCUGCUUUUUGGAAUACAAAGGCAAUAGGUUAUUGGACCCCCCCUCUGUCUACUCAAUUAAUAUAAACUCAAUUUAUUUUAAAACGAAUGUAAUGGAUGUAACACAUCUCAUAC